rnacentral:snoRNA from 1 species
UCACCCACUGUGAUGAAUCAUUACGGAUGUAAAAGAGCAUUGCUCAACCUGUCCGAGAGCGCUUAACCCCAUGUGGAUGUUUCCGUUGCCUUCCUUCUGACCCUUC